rnacentral:rRNA from 1 species
AGUGAACGCUGGCGGCGUGCCUAAUACAUGCAAGUCGAACGGAGUGGCGCACGGGUGAGUAAUAUAUAGCUAAUCUGCCCCUUGCUGGAGGACAACAGUUAGAAAAGACUGCUAAUACUCCAUAGCAAGGGAUGAGACUAUAUCGUAUCAGCUAGUCGGUGGGGUAACGGCCUUCCGAGGCUAUGACGCGUAACUGGUCUGAGAGGAUGAUCUGUCACAUUGGAACUUAGACACGGUCCAGACUCCUACGGGAGGCAGCAGUAGGGAUUGUUGCGCAAGGGGGGAAACCCUGACGGAGUAACGCCGCGUGGAGGAUGACACUUGUCGGAGCGUAAACUCCUUUUGUUAUGGAAGCGGUACCUAACGAAUAAGCACCGGCUAACUCCGUGCCAGCAGCCGCGGUAAUUC